CCUACGGGUGGCAGCAGUGAGGAAUAUUGGUCAAUGGGCGAGAGCCUGAACCAGCCAAGUCGCGUGAAGGAUGAAGGAUCUAUGGUUUGUAAACUUCUUUUAUAUGGGAAUAAAGUGAGGAACGUGUUCCUUUUUGUAUGUACCAUAUGAAUAAGCAUCGGCUAACUCCGUGCCAGCAGCCGCGGUAAUACGGAGGAUGCGAGCGUUAUCCGGAUUUAUUGGGUUUAAAGGGUGCGUAGGUGGUGAAUUAAGUCAGCGGUGAAAGUUUGUGGCUCAACCAUAAAAUUGCCGUUGAAACUGGUUGACUUGAGUAUAUGAGAGGUAGGCGGAAUGCGUGGUGUAGCGGUGAAAUGCAUAGAUAUCGCGCAGAACUCCGAUUGCGAAGGCAGCUUACUAAACUAUAACUGACACUGAAGCACGAAAGCGUGGGGAGCAAACAGGAUUAGAUACCCGUGUAGUC
rnacentral:rRNA from 1 species